UUAAGCGACUAAGCGUACACGGUGGAUGCCCUGGCAGUCAGAGGCGAUGAAGGACGUGCUAAUCUGCGAUAAGCGUCGGUAAGGUGAUAUGAACCGUUAUAACCGGCGAUUUCCGAAUGGGGAAACCCAGUGUGUUUCGACACACUAUCAUUAACUGAAUCCAUAGGUUAAUGAGGCGAACCGGGGGAACUGAAACAUCUAAGUACCCCGAGGAAAAGAAAUCAACCGAGAUUCCCCCAGUAGCGGCGAGCGAACGGGGAGCAGCCCAGAGCCUGAAUCAGUGUGUGUGUUAGUGGAAGCGUCUGGAAAGGCGCGCGAUACAGGGUGACAGCCCCGUACACAAAAAUGCACAUGCUGUGAGCUCGAUGAGUAGGGCGGGACACGUGGUAUCCUGUCUGAAUAUGGGGGACCAUCCUCCAAGGCUAAAUACUCCUGACUGACCGAUAGUGAACCAGUACCGUGAGGGAAAGGCGAAAAGAACCCCGGCGAGGGGAGUGAAAAAGAACCUGAAACCGUGUACGUACAAGCAGUGGGAGCACGCUUCGGCGUGUGACUGCGUACCUUUUGUAUAAUGGGUCAGCGACUUAUAUUCUGUAGCAAGGUUAACCGAAUAGGGGAGCCGAAGGGAACCGAGUCUUAACUGGGCGUUAAGUUGCAGGGUAUAGACCCGAAACCCGGUGAUCUAGCCAUGGGCAGGUUGAAGGUUGGGUAACACUAACUGGAGGACCGAACCGACUAAUGUUGAAAAUUAGCGGAUGACUUGUGGCUGGGGGUGAAAGGCCAAUCAAACCGGGAGAUAGCUGGUUCUCCCCGAAAGCUAUUUAGGUAGCGCCUCGUGAAUUCAUCUCCGGGGGUAGAGCACUGUUUCGGCAAGGGGGUCAUCCCGACUUACCAACCCGAUGCAAACUGCGAAUACCGGAGAAUGUUAUCACGGGAGACACACGGCGGGUGCUAACGUCCGUCGUGAAGAGGGAAACAACCCAGACCGCCAGCUAAGGUCCCAAAGUCAUGGUUAAGUGGGAAACGAUGUGGGAAGGCCCAGACAGCCAGGAUGUUGGCUUAGAAGCAGCCAUCAUUUAAAGAAAGCGUAAUAGCUCACUGGUCGAGUCGGCCUGCGCGGAAGAUGUAACGGGGCUAAACCAUGCACCGAAGCUGCGGCAGCGACGCUGAUGCGUUGUUGGGUAGGGGAGCGUUCUGUAAGCCUGCGAAGGUGUGCUGUGAGGCAUGCUGGAGGUAUCAGAAGUGCGAAUGCUGACAUAAGUAACGAUAAAGCGGGUGAAAAGCCCGCUCGCCGGAAGACCAAGGGUUCCUGUCCAACGUUAAUCGGGGCAGGGUGAGUCGACCCCUAAGGCGAGGCCGAAAGGCGUAGUCGAUGGGAAACAGGUUAAUAUUCCUGUACUUGGUGUUACUGCGAAGGGGGACGGAGAAGGCUAUGUUGGCCGGGCGCCGGUUGUCCCGUUUAAGCGUGUAGGCUGGUUUUCCAGGCAAAUCCGGAAAAUCAAGGCUGAGGCGUGAUGACGAGGCACUACGGUGCUGGAAGCAACAAAUGCCCUGCUUCCAGGAAAAGCCUCUAAGCAUCAGGUAACAUCAAAUCGUACCCCAAACCGACACAGGUGGUCAGGUAGAGAAUACCAAGGCGCUUGAGAGAACUCGGGUGAAGGAACUAGGCAAAAUGGUGCCGUAACUUCGGGAGAAGGCACGCUGAUAUGUAGGUGAAGUCCCUCGCGGAUGGAGCUGAAAUCAGUCGAAGAUACCAGCUGGCUGCAACUGUUUUAUUAAAAACACAGCACUGUGCAAACACGAAAGUGGAACGUAUACGGUGUGACGCCUGCCCGGUGCCGGAGGUUAAUUGAUGGGGUCAGCGCAAGCGAAGCUCUUGAUCGAAGCCCCGGUAAACGGCGGCCGUAACUAUAACGGUCCUAAGGUAGCGAAAUUCCUUGUCGGGUAAGUUCCGACCUGCACGAAUGGCGUAAUGAUGGCCAGGCUGUCUCCACCCGAGACUCAGUGAAAUUGAACUCGCUGUGAAGAUGCAGUGUACCCGCGGCAAGACGGAAAGACCCCGUGAACCUUUACUAUAGCUUGACACUGAACAUUGAGCCUUGAUGUGUAGAUAGGUGGGAGGCUUUGAAGUGUGGACGCCAGUCUGCAUGGAGCCGACCUUGAAAUACCACCCUUUAAUGUUUGAUGUUCUAACGUUGACCCGUAAUCCGGGUUGCGGACAGUGUCUGGUGGGUAGUUUGACUGGGGCGGUCUCCUCCUAAAAGAGUAACGGAGGAGCACGAAGGUUGGCUAAUCCUGGUCGGACAUCAGGAGGUUAGUGCAAUGGCAUAAGCCAGCUUGGACUGCGAGCGUGACGGCGCGAGCAGGUGCGAAAGCAGGUCAUAGUGAUCCGGUGGUUCUGAAUGGAAGGGCCAUCGCUCAACGGAUAAAAGGUACUCCGGGGAUAACAGGCUGAUACCGCCCAAGAGUUCAUAUCGACGGCGGUGUUUGGCACCUCGAUGUCGGCUCAUCACAUCCUGGGGCUGAAGUAGGUCCCAAGGGUAUGGCUGUUCGCCAUUUAAAGUGGUACGCGAGCUGGGUUUGAACGUCGUGAGACAGUUCGGUCCCUAUCUGCCGUGGGCGCUGGAGAACUGAGGGGGGCUGCUCCUAGUACGAGAGGACCGGAGUGGACGCAUCACUGGUGUUCGGGUUGUCAUGCCAAUGGCACUGCCCGGUAGCUAAAUGCGGAAGAGAUAAGUGCUGAAAGCAUCUAAGCACGAAACUUGCCCCGAGAUGAGUUCUCCCUGACCCUUUAAGGGUCCUGAAGGAACGUUGAAGACGACGACGUUGAUAGGCCGGGUGUGUAAGCGCAGCGAUGCGUUGAGCUAACCGGUACUAAUGAACCGUGAGGCUUAACCUU
rnacentral:rRNA from 1 species